GUUGUAUAGUCAAGUAAUUAAGUGCAUGUGGUGGAUGCCUUGGCAGUCAGAGGCGAUGAAAGACGUGAUAGCCUGCGAAAAGCUCCGGGGAGGCGGCAAAUAUCCUUUGAUCCGGAGAUGUCUGAAUGGGGGAACCCACCUACUUUAAGGUAGGUAUUGCAACAUGAAUACAUAGUGUUGCAAGGCGAACGAGGGGAAGUGAAACAUCUCAGUACCCUUAGGAAAAGAAAUCAAUUGAGAUUCCCUCAGUAGCGGCGAGCGAACGGGGAUCAGCCCAUUAAGUUAUGUGUGUUUUAGUGGAACGCUCUGGGAAGUGCGAACGUAGAGGGUGAUAUUCCCGUACACGAAAGGGCACACAUAAUGAUGACGAGUAGGGCGAGGCACGUGAAACCUUGUCUGAAUAUGGGGGGACCAUCCUCCAAGGCUAAAUACUCCUGACUGACCGAUAGUGAACCAGUACCGUGAGGGAAAGGCGAAAAGAACCCCUGUGAGGGGAGUGAAAUAGAUCCUGAAACCGCAUGCAUACAAGCAGUGGGAGCACCUUCGUGGUGUGACUGCGUACCUUUUGUAUAAUGGGUCAGCGACUUAUAUUCAGUAGCAAGGUUAACCGUAUAGGGGAGCCGUAGAGAAAUCGAGUCUUAAUAGGGCGUUUAGUUGCUGGGUAUAGACCCGAAACCAGGCGAUCUAUCCAUGAGCAGGUUGAAGGUUGGGUAACACUAACUGGAGGACCGAACCCACUGUCGUUGAAAAGCCAGGGGAUGACUUGUGGAUAGGGGUGAAAGGCUAAUCAAGCCUGGUGAUAGCUGGUUCUCCCCGAAAGCUAUUUAGGUAGCGCCUCGGACGAAUACCAUAGGGGGUAGAGCACUGUUUCGGCUAGGGGGUCAUCCCGACUUACCAAACCGAUGCAAACUCCGAAUACCUAUGAGUACUAUCCGGGAGACAGACUGCGGGUGCUAACGUCCGUAGUCAAGAGGAAAACAAUCCAGACCGCCAGCUAAGGCCCCAAAAUCAUAGUUAAGUGGGAAACGAUGUGGGAAGGCAUAGACAGCUAGGAGGUUGGCUUANGAAGCAGCCACCCUUUAAAGAAAGCGUAAUAGCUCACUAGUCGAGUCGGCCUGCGCGGAAGAUGUAACGGGGCUAAAACUAUGUGCCGAAGCUGCGGAUUUGACAUUAGUCAAGUGGUAGGGGAGCGUUCUGUAAGCCGAUGAAGGUGUAUUGAGAAGUNNNNNAUGCUGGAGGUAUCAGAAGUGCGAAUGCUGACGUGAGUAACGACAAAACGGGUGAAAAACCCGUUCGCCGAAAGACCAAGGGUUCCAGUCCAACGUUAAUCGGGGCUGGGUGAGUCGACCCCUAAGGCGAGGCCGAAAGGCGUAGUCGAUGGGAAAAUGGUUAAUAUUCCAUUACUUCUGUGUAAUGCGAUGAGAGGACGGAGAAGGCUAAAUCAGCCUGGCGUUGGUUGUCCAGGUGAAAGGAUGUAGGCAUGUAUCUUAGGCAAAUCCGGGGUACUCUAUGCUGAGAUCUGAUAGCAAGCUGUACUUGUACAGCGAAGUGGUUGAUGCCAUGCUUCCAGGAAAAGUCUCUAAGCUUCAGUUACACAGGAAUCGUACCCGAAACCGACACAGGUGGUCAGGUCGAGUAGACCAAGGCGCUUGAGAGAACUCUGCUGAAGGAACUAGGCAAAAUGGUACCGUAACUUCGGGAGAAGGUACGCUGUUGUUGGUGAUGGAACUCGCUUCCUGAGCUGACGACAGCCGCAGAAACCAGGCCGCUGCAACUGUUUAUUAAAAACAUAGCACUCUGCAAACACGAAAGUGGACGUAUAGGGUGUGAUGCCUGCCCGGUGCUGGAAGGUUAAUUGAUGGGGUUAGCGUAAGCGAAGCUCUUGAUCGAAGCCCCAGUAAACGGCGGCCGUAACUAUAACGGUCCUAAGGUAGCGAAAUUCCUUGUCGGGUAAGUUCCGACCUGCACGAAUGGCAUAAUGAUGGCGGCGCUGUCUCCAGCAGAGGCUCAGUGAAAUCGAAAUCGCUGUGAAGAUGCAGUGUACCCGCGGCUAGACGGAAAGACCCCGUGAACCUUUACUGCAGCUUGACACUGAACUUUGACCUUACUUGUGUAGGAUAGGUGGGAGGCUUUGAAGCUGGAACGCUAGUUCCAGUGGAGCCGUCCUUGAAAUACCACCCUGGUAAUGUUGAGGUUCUAACUCUGUCCCGUGAUCCGGGACGAGGACCGUGUCUGGUGGGUAGUUUGACUGGGGCGGUCUCCUCCUAAAGAGUAACGGAGGAGUACGAAGGUGCGCUCAGCGUGGUCGGAAAUCACGCGUAGAGUAUAAAGGCAAAAGCGCGCUUAACUGCGAGACCCACAAGUCGAGCAGGUACGAAAGUAGGUCUUAGUGAUCCGGUGGUUCUGUAUGGAAGGGCCAUCGCUCAACGGAUAAAAGGUACUCUGGGGAUAACAGGCUGAUACCGCCCAAGAGUUCAUAUCGACGGCGGUGUUUGGCACCUCGAUGUCGGCUCAUCUCAUCCUGGGGCUGAAGCAGGUCCCAAGGGUAUGGCUGUUCGCCAUUUAAAGAGGUACGCGAGCUGGGUUUAGAACGUCGUGAGACAGUUCGGUCCCUAUCUACCGUGGGCGCUGGAAAUUUGAGAGGAUCUGCUCCUAGUACGAGAGGACCAGAGUGGACGAACCUCUGGUGUACCGGUUGUGACGCCAGUCGCAUCGCCGGGUAGCUAUGUUCGGAAGGGAUAACCGCUGAAAGCAUCUAAGCGGGAAGCCUACCUCAAGAUAAGAUUUCCCUAGGACUUUAUGUCCUCUAAAGAGCCGUUCGAGACUAGGACGUUGAUAGGUUGGAUGUGGAAGCAUAGUGAUAUGUGAAGCUGACCAAUACUAAUUGCUCGUGAGGCUUGACUAUACAACACCCAAGCAGUUG
rnacentral:rRNA from 1 species